rnacentral:rRNA from 1 species
GACGAACGCUGGCGGCGUGCUUAACACAUGCAAGUCGAGCGGUAAGGCCCUUUCGGGGGUACACGAGCGGCGAACGGGUGAGUAACACGUGGGUGACCUGCCCUCAGCUCUGGGAUAAGCCUGGGAAACCGGGUCUAAUACCGGAUAUGACUCCAUGACGCAUGUUGUGGGGUGGAAAGCCUUGUGCGGCUGAGGAUGGGCCCGCGGCCUAUCAGCUUGUUGGUGGGGUGAUGGCCUACCAAGGCGACGACGGGUAGCCGGCCUGAGAGGGCGACCGGCCACACUGGGACUGAGACACGGCCCAGACUCCUACGGGAGGCAGCAGUGGGGAAGUCUUGCGCAAUGGGCGAAAGACCUGACGCAGCGACGCCGCGUGAGGGAU